GCCGACAUAGCUCAACCUGGUAGAGCGAUGGUCUCCAAAACCAUAGGCUGGGGGUUCGAUUCCUUCUGUCGGUGCCA
rnacentral:tRNA from 1 species